rnacentral:rRNA from 1 species
GACGAACGCUGGCGGCGUGCUUAACACAUGCAAGUCGAACGGUAAGGCCCUUCGGGGUACACGAGUGGCGAACGGGUGAGUAACACGUGGGUGAUCUGCCCUGCACUUCGGGAUAAGCCUGGGAAACUGGGUCUAAUACCGGAUAGGACCACUGCCUGCAUGGGUGGUGGUGGAAAGCUUUUGCGGUGUGGGAUGGGCCCGCGGCCUAUCAGCUUGUUGGUGGGGUGAUGGCCCACCAAGGCGACGACGGGUAGCCGGCCUGAGAGGGUGACCGGCCACACUGGGACUGAGAUACGGCCCAGACUCCUACGGGAGGCAGCAGUGGGGAAUAUUGCACAAUGGGCGCAAGCCUGAUGCAGCGACGCCGCGUGAGGGAUGACGGCCUUCGGGUUGUAAACCUCUUUCAGCUAUGGCGAAGCGCAAGUGACGGUAGUAGCAGAAGAAGGACCGGCCAACUACGUGCCAGCAGCCACCGUAA